rnacentral:tRNA from 1 species
GGCUCAGUAGCUCAGUUGGUAGAGCAAUGGACUGAAAAUCCAUGUGUCGGCAGUUCGAUUCUGUCUUGAGCCACCA